UUCGGGGUGAGUGGCAGACGGGUGAGUAACGCGUGGGAACGUGCCCUUCAGUUCGGAAUAACCCAGGGAAACUUGGGCUAAUACCGGAUACGUGCGAGAGCAGAAAGAUUUAUCGCUGAAGGAUCGGCCCGCGUCUGAUUAGCUAGUUGGUGAGGUAAUGGCUCACCAAGGCGACGAUCAGUAGCUGGUCUGAGAGGAUGAUCAGCCACAUUGGGACUGAGACACGGCCCAAACUCCUACGGGAGGCAGCAGUGGGGAAUAUUGGACAAUGGGCGCAAGCCUGAUCCAGCCAUGCCGCGUGAGUGAUGACGGCCUUAGGGUUGUAAAGCUCUUUCGGCGGGGACGAUAAUGACGGUACCCGCAGAAGAAGCCCCGGCUAACUUCGUGCCAGCAGCCGCGGUAAUACGAAGGGGGCUAGCGUUGUUCGGAAUCACUGGGCGUAAAGGGCGCGUAGGCGGCUUUGUAAGUCGGGGGUGAAAGCCUGUGGCUCAACCACAGAAUUGCCUUCGAUACUGCAUGGCUUGAGACCGGAAGAGGUAAGUGGAACUGCGAGUGUAGAGGUGAAAUUCGUAGAUAUUCGCAAGAACACCAGUGGCGAAGGCGGCUUACUGGUCCGGUUCUGACGCUGAGGCGCGAAAGCGUGGGGAGCAAACAGGAUUAGAUACCCUGGUAGUCCACGCCGUAAACGAUGAAUGCCAGCCGUUGGCGAGCUUGCUCGUCAGUGGCGCAGCUAACGCUUUAAGCA
rnacentral:rRNA from 1 species